UGAGGCGGAGCUAANCCCUUAAAGCCAUUCUCAGUUCGGAUUGUAGGCUGAAACUCGCCUACAUGAAGCUGGAGUUACUAGUAAUCGCAGAUCAGAAUGCUGCGGUGAACGCGUUCCCGGGUCUUGUACACACCGCCCGUCACACCACGGAAGUUGGGGGCGCCCGAAGCCACUUAGCUAACCCUUUUGGGAAGCGAGUGUCGAAGGUGAAAUCAAUAACUGGGGUGAAGUCGUAACAAGGUAAC
rnacentral:rRNA from 1 species